rnacentral:ncRNA from 1 species
AAGAGUUCAAUGACUGGGAGAGUAAGUUAUAAAAAUCUUUUAGCGAGCCAAUGAUGAUGGAAGAUUGGUAGAGGAUUAUAACCUAAGCGCACCCAUGAGAUUUCAGUUGAAUCCAGUAGGCUGAACGGUUGUCCCGUUAAAGACAUCAAGUGAGAACGUUUUUAUGUUCUAAGUAGAGUGGUACCGCGGAUUUUUCGUCUCUUAC